UACGUAGGGGGCAAGCGUUGUCCGGAAUUAUUGGGCGUAAAGAGCGUGUAGGCGGUCCGGUAAGUCAGCUGUGAAAGUCAAGGGCUCAACCCUUGAAUGCCGGUUGAUACUGUCGGGCUAGAGUCCGGAAGAGGAGAGUGGAAUUCCGGGUGUAGCGGUGGAAUGCGUAGAGAUCCGGAGGAAGACCGGUGGCGAAGGCGGUCUGCUGGGCAGUUUCUGACACUGAUGCGCGACAGCGUGGGAGCAAACAGG
rnacentral:rRNA from 1 species